rnacentral:rRNA from 1 species
GGGGAAUAUUGGACAAUGGGGGCAACCCUGAUCCAGCAAUUCUGUGUGCACGAUGAAGGUUUUCGGAUUGUAAAGUGCUUUCAGCAGGGAAGAAAAAAAUGACGGUACCUGCAGAAGAAGCGACGGCUAAAUACGUGCCAGCAGCCGCGGUAAUACGUAUGUCGCAAGCGUUAUCCGGAAUUAUUGGGCAUAAAGGGCAUCUAGGCGGCCAGAUAAGUCUGGGGUGAAAACUUGCGGCUCAACCGCAAGCCCGCCCUGGAAACUAUGUGGCUAGAGUACUGGAGAGGUGGACGGAACUGCACGAGUAGAGGUGAAAUUCGUAGAUAUGUGCAGGAAUGCCGAUGAUGAAGAUAGUUCACUGGACGGUAACUGACGCUGAAGUGCGAAAGCUAGGGGAGCAAACAGGAUUAGAUACCCUGGUAGUCCUAGCUGUAAACGAUGAUUACUGGGUGUGGGCAUGAAGAGUGUCCGUGCCGAAGCUAAUGCGAUAAGUAAUCCGCCUGGGGAGUACGGCCGCAAGGCUG